rnacentral:rRNA from 1 species
UUACCAUGCAGUCGACGAUGAUGCCCAGCUUGCUGGGUGGAUUAGUGGCGAACGGGUGAGUAACACGUGAGUAACCUGCCCCUGACUCUGGGAUAAGCGUUGGAAACGACGUCUAAUACUGGAUAUGAUCACUGGCCGCAUGGUCUGGUGGUGGAAAGAUUUUUUGGUUGGGGAUGGACUCGCGGCCUAUCAGCUUGUUGGUGAGGUAAUGGCUCACCAAGGCGACGACGGGUAGCCGGCCUGAGAGGGUGACCGGCCACACUGGGACUGAGACACGGCCCAGACUCCUACGGGAGGCAGCAGUGGGGAAUAUUGCACAAUGGGCGAAAGCCUGAUGCAGCAACGCCGCGUGAGGGAUGACGGCCUUCGGGUUGUAAACCUCUUUUAGUAGGGAAGAAGCGAAAGUGACGGUACCUGCAGAAAAAGCACCGGCUAACUACGUGCCAGCAGCCGCGGUAAUACGUAGGGUGCAAGCGUUGUCCGGAAUUAUUGGGCGUAAAGAGCUCGUAGGCGGUUUGUCGCGUCUGCUGUGAAAUCCCGAGGCUCAACCUCGGGCUUGCAGUGGGUACGGGCAGACUAGAGUGCGGUAGGGGAGAUUGGAAUUCCUGGUGUAGCGGUGGAAUGCGCAGAUAUCAGGAGGAACACCGAUGGCGAAGGCAGAUCUCUGGGCCGUAACUGACGCUGAGGAGCGAAAGCAUGGGGGAGCGAACAGGAUUAGAUACCCUGGUAGUCCAUGCCGUAAACGUUGGGCGCUAGAUGUAGGGACCUUUCCACGGUUUCUGUGUCGUAGCUAACGCAUUAAGCGCCCCGCCUGGGGAGUACGGCCGCAAGGCUAAAACUCAAAGGAAUUGACGGGGGCCCGCACAAGCGGCGGAGCAUGCGGAUUAAUUUCGAUGCAACGCGAAGAACCUUACCAAGGCUUGACAUACACCGGAAACGGCCAGAGAUGGUCGCCCCCUUGUGGUCGGUGUACAGGUGGUGCAUGGUUGUCGUCAGCUCGUGUCGUGAGAUGUUGGGUUAAGUCCCGCAACGAGCGCAACCCUCGUUCUAUGUUGCCAGCGGGUUAUGCCGGGGACUCAUAGGAGACUGCCGGGGUCAACUCGGAGGAAGGUGGGGAUGACGUCAAAUCAUCAUGCCCCUUAUGUCUUGGGCUUCACGCAUGCUACAAUGGCCGGUACAAAGGGCUGCGAUACCGUAAGGUGGAGCGAAUCCCAAAAAGCCGGUCUCAGUUCGGAUUGAGGUCUGCAACUCGACCUCAUGAAGUCGGAGUCGCUAGUAAUCGCAGAUCAGCAACGCUGCGGUGAAUACGUUCCCGGGCCUUGUACACACCGCCCGUCAAGUCAUGAAAGUCGGUAACACCCGAAGCCGGUGGCCUAACCCUUGUGGAAGGAGCCGUCGAAG